rnacentral:rRNA from 1 species
GACGAAGGGGGCUAGCGUUGUUCGGAAUUACUGGGCGUAAAGCGUGUGUAGGUGGUUGUCAUAGUCAGGUGUGAAAGCCUUGAGCUCAACUCCAGAACUGCCUUUGAUACUGAGAAGCUUGAGUUCGGGAGAGGUGAGUGGAACUGCGAGUGUAGAGGUGAAAUUCGUAGAUAUUCGCAAGAACACCAGUGGCGAAGGCGGCUCACUGGCCCGAUACUGACGCUGAGGUGCGAAAGCGUGGGGAGCAAACAGG